rnacentral:rRNA from 1 species
UACGUAGGGCGCAAGCGUUAUCCGGAAUUAUUGGGCGUAAAGAGCUCGUAGGCGGUUUGUCGCGUCUGCCGUGAAAGUCCGGGGGCUCAACUCCGGAUCUGCGGUGGGUACGGGCAGACUAGAGUGAUGUAGGGGGAGACUGGAAUUCCUGGUGUAGCGGUGAAAUGCGCAGAUAUCAGGAGGAACACCGAUGGCGAAGGCAGGUCUCUGGGCAUUAACUGACGCUGAGGAGCGAAAGCAUGGGGAGCGAACAG